GAUUUUUGUUAAUAAGAUGUAGUUGGUUUCUUCUUAGGUUUUAUUAAAUUCUUGAAAUUGAUCUUAAAGAUUGAGUCUUUCUUGUGUAAUCCAAAAGAAAUUUCUGGAUGUUUUCUUUCCAUACUUGAGAAGUUGAGCUUAAAGAUUUAGUCUUUCAUGUUUAAACCAAAAGAAAUUUCAUGGGUUUUUCCAUUCUUGAAUAUUGAGCUUAAAGAUUUAAUCUUUCUUGUUAACCAAAAGAAAUUUCUGGGUGUUUUUCUAUUCUUGAUUAUUGAGCUUAAAUCUUUAUUGUAAACCAAAAAGGAAUUUCUAGGUGUUUACAUAUUCUUAAAGUUGAGUUUGAAGAUUGGAUCUUUCUUGUAAACCAAAAAAGAAUUUGUGGGUUUUUUCCAUUCUUGAAGUUGAGCUUAAAUAUUUGUGGGUGUUUGUUUCAUUCCUUUAUUUUGGUUUAAGAAAGUUCACAGGUUUCAAUAUUAUAGGAUGCGUACAAGAAAUGGAAUAGAAAAGAAGAAGUGUUGUCACCUAUCCAAGAUACUAUAACGCAUAUUGUGUCCCCAUAUUUUUUAGGUUCAAUAAUUUGUGUUUAAUUCUGCAGUGGUACGCACUGAAAAACUUCUCAAGAAUGACAUUUAGCAUGAGAAGCAUCGCAAUGAUGAUAACUCAAUUAUCUACUGAAGUAUUGUAAGGCCUAUUCUGGACUCUUUUGAAUCAUCUAAGCAAAUGUCAGCAUUCUCUCUAAGCAACGGGCAGGAAUCAAACUAGGUCCACCGACCUCAGCCAACCAAGCUAAGGCUCGAGGCAGCUCAUCUACAUCCAGCUAGCCAGCCAAGCCAAGCCUUGGGGGCCUGGGCAAGCUGGAGCUAAAGUAGGCUCAUUUGCAUCCAAUACAGAUUGAUAUAUUUGUGAAGUAUUUUCCUGGGGCGACACAUGCCUGGUCCAUGAGGUACAAUGAUGAUGAUAAAUUGGCUAUAAAAUCUGUUGAAGAGUCUCAUCAAUACAUGUUUGGAUGGCUUGAAAAACAUCUCAGUUGACAAUGAAAUGAUUGAAUACUUGAGAAAUCAAUAUCGUUCGCAUCUUUCUAUCUCAUCAUACUCUGCUCUAGUGACGUUCGGCGCAUUAACAAAUAUCACAUGUUGAUCAAUACCGUUCUCGGCCAGGAAAAGAUACAGGUCGCGUGCAUGUCUUAUCAGAACGUGGUUUUAGAAUUGCGGAGCAGGGACAGGAAUCAAACUAGGUCCACCGACCUUAGCCAACCAAGCUAAGGCUCGAGGCAGCUCAUCCACAUCCAGCUAGCCAACCAAGCCAAGCCUUGGGGGCCUGGGCAAGCUGGAGCUAAAGUAGGUUCAUUUGCAUCCAAUCCAGAUUGAUAUUUUUGUGAAGAUUUUUCCUAGGGAGACGCAUGACUGGUCCGUGAGGUAUAACGAUGAUGAUAAAUUUGCUGUAAAAUUUGCUGAAGAGUCUCAUCAAGACAUGUUCGGAUGGCUUGAAAAACAUCUCAAGUAAAAUUUACUUACUGUGAUGACAUGUUUCCUUUACAUAUGUUUGAUAAUAAAGGUUAGGAGUGUUUUCUUUCCAACAAAUGAUUCCUUCUGCAUCUUAUAGGAAUUUAACUUUGUUUCUUUCAGUUGUCAAUGAAAUGAUUGAAUACUUGAGAAA